rnacentral:lncRNA from 1 species
AUAGAUCUGGUGAGAGAGAGAAAAUGUAGCCAAACGUUAAAAACUGGUGAAUCUAGGUGAAAGGUGUGUAGGUGUUCAUUAUAUAUUGUAUUGUUUCUGUAAUUUUUCCCCAGGUUACAGAUUUUUCCAAAUAAAAUAUUGAUGAGAAGUGAAAAAAUUAAGCUACAGCCUAAUAAAAAUCUAAAAUUUAACUUCCCCAUCAAUAAUACAGAAUGAGCAGUGCAAAAGAAAAAAGUUGGUGUAAAUAUGAGGUCAUUAUUGCUAGGUUAAUUAAAUGAGGCGAGUUUAGCAGCCAGAGCCGCAAGAUCCGAAUCUGUUCAAGUCUGAGCGCUGCAGUUGGCGCCACCUGGCGGCAGUUGUCUGCUUCGGCUUAAAUAAGGAUGGUGAUUGUUCUGGCUCCUAUCGGAAGUGAUGCCAAGGAUCUCCAGGGUUGCGAGUCGUGGGCAAGGAUGGAGAUUAGAGUCAUCUGGGUCCAGUCCACAUGGGAAGCAGAGGCUGCCUGGCUGUGACAGUGGCAGCAGGCUUAGCUGCUCCCUGCCUGCAACAAAGUCCCUGGCUACGGGGAACCUAACAUCCAUCCGUUCAAUGGAGAAGUAUUUGGAAGAGUUUGAUGCAGUUCCGGGUGUCAAAUCAUGGCGCAGACGUGGACGUCAUUUAGCCAGUCACAUGAAAGGAUUGUGACGAACCUCCAAACAGAGUCUGUGCUGAUAGCCAUCAUCAAUGACAACUGAAAGAUCUGGUGUGGCGACUCCCAGUCUGUAACACCAGAGGGUCAACAUUCCUAACCCCCUUCCCUAUAACCUACUGGCCUAUAUAACUGCUUCAAGAUUCUGUGCCCUCCUUAAGAUGGUUCUUUUGGACAUUAGUUGGCCAUCUUCCCUCUUGCUAGCAAGCUAUAAUAAAA